rnacentral:rRNA from 1 species
CGCGAUACAGGGUGACAGCCCCGUACACAAAAAUGCACAUGCUGUGAGCUCGAUGAGUAGGGCGGGACACGUGGUAUCCUGUCUGAAUAUGGGGGGACCAUCCUCCAAGGCUAAAUACUCCUGACUGACCGAUAGUGAACCAGUACCGUGAGGGAAAGGCGAAAAGAACCCCGGCGAGGGGAGUGAAAAAGAACCUGAAACCGUGUACGUACAAGCAGUGGGAGCACGCUUCGGCGUGUGACUGCGUACCUUUUGUAUAAUGGGUCAGCGACUUAUAUUCUGUAGCAAGGUUAACCGAAUAGGGGAGCCGAAGGGAAACCGAGUCUUAACUGGGCGUUAAGUUGCAGGGUAUAGACCCGAAACCCGGUGAUCUAGCCAUGGGCAGGUUGAAGGUUGGGUAACACUAACUGGAGGACCGAACCGACUAAUGUUGAAAAAUUAGCGGAUGACUUGUGGCUGGGGGUGAAAGGCCAAUCAAACCGGGAGAUAGCUGGUUCUCCCCGAAAGCUAUUUAGGUAGCGCCUCGUGAAUUCAUCUCCGGGGGUAGAGCACUGUUUCGGCAAGGGGGUCAUCCCGACUUACCAACCCGAUGCAAACUGCGAAUACCGGAGAAUGUUAUCACGGGAGACACACGGCGGGUGCUAACGUCCGUCGUGAAGAGGGAAACAACCCAGACCGCCAGCUAAGGUCCCAAAGUCAUGGUUAAGUGGGAAACGAUGUGGGAAGGCCCAGACAGCCAGGAUGUUGGCUUAGAAGCAGCCAUCAUUUAAAGAAAGCGUAAUAGCUCACUGGUCGAGUCGGCCUGCGCGGAAGAUGUAACGGGGCUAAACCAUG